rnacentral:tRNA from 1 species
UCCACCCUAGCUCAAUUGGUAAAGAAUCUGCCUGCAAUGCACGAGACCCAGGUUUGAUUCCUGGGUCAGGAG